UACGGAGGGUGCGAGCGUUGUCCGGAAUCACUGGGCGUAAAGGGCGCGUAGGCGGCUCAAGCAGCGUGUGGUGAAAGCUCGGGGCUCAACCCCGAGUCGGCCGUGCGAACUCUUGGGCUGGAGUGCUGUAGAGGCGGGCGGAAUUCCGGGUGUAGCGGUGGAAUGCGUAGAGAUCCGGAAGAACACCGGUGGCGAAGGCGGCCCGCUGGGCAGUGACUGACGCUGAGGCGCGACAGCGUGGGGAGCAAACAGG
rnacentral:rRNA from 1 species